CCCCUACUCCUCCCAAGGGUCACCUGAUCCUCCGUCCAAGCCAAAAGCAUGAACGUUGGCAAUCUCAAGGAUCUGAAGGAUCCAUGUGUGACAAAACAGAAUCCUGAGAGUGAGAUGAUGAUAAGAGGCACCCUGAUGAACUGAAACCACUGGUUCAUCCUUUGCAAGUGAACCCCUUGGAGAAGCAAACCCUCAAGAGUCCAACAAACUACACAUGGAAGAGUAGACUACAUGGAUCUAAUACAAUCAAAGAUCAACUAAUCCAGACAGAGAGUGUCAGAUCUCCAUUCAAGUUCCAGUCCAUCACCAGUGGAGUUGCAGUGUUG